UGGAUGGAUGGACAAAAUUUUCGUCAGUUACAAGGGGUCCCGGCUUUACGCCAGGGCUUUGUUCCCACGGCAGUGACAUAAUUCAAUAUGUGCACAUCCCGAAAUGUGUGGUUGUAUAUCAAAGAGCAACGUCGUAAUAAAUAUUUAUGAGAAACAUUUCAAGGCAGCACAAACAAACGAAAAACACUAAGUACAGCAAUUAGUGAGCAUGUCAUACCACAUAUUUACUACACUACACACUGUUUUGGACCCUUAAAAUGUCACGACAAAGGUCUGUUGAAAACCGAAGACUCCAACUGUAAAUCAUAAAUGUGGAAAAAAAUCCCAUCCAGGCUCCAAUUGUCACUGGAAGAGGCUGACAUUUAAAGACACAUUUUCAAUAUUCGUUACUAGAAGUUGUUGAUCGACAGUUUUUGCUUCGACUCGGGAUCCCAAGCUUGAGAUACGAGCGCUGGUGGCUCCACUUCCCUUCACAUCAAGGACCAAUUUGGCAGAUAUAAUUCAUAAAUACUCUUCUAAAGAGAUUUCAAGCUGUUGAUUGCUAUUAGCAGUUGGAAUUUGCUCUCAAACCAUGAAACAGACAUUUACACAUUCAUUAGAAACAUUCGUGCAGCCCCCACCAAGUUUACGAGGGAAAACACCGCAGUCACGCGGGCUAACAGUUAACAAACAAGUUACGCGCGCAACAAAAACAUCAGGCAAUGGUAUUUUAAAACAAUUUCAACGGGUGGACAAGAGAGCUAGUAGGCCGGAGAGGUUACAAAGACAUCGUGACAAAAAGCAUACUGCAGAAGAUGCAAGACAUUCAUCUUCAUGAAAUGUGGCAGAUUAGCUUUAAGUCGCUGAAGGAACUUCAAGUUAUAUGAUGGUAGAAAUAUUGUGACUGUGUUUAUACAUAAUACACAAAACACCGUUUUCUGGAUUUUCCUGAAAAGUGAUGGUUUGGAUUCUGCCCGACACCUGUGAUGGAUAGUAUAAGUCUUUCCCAGAUGAAAUGGGAAAAAAUAUGGAGUAAAAAUAUUCCUGCCUGGAAUAUACGGAUAAUUGGAAAGUCGGAGUGAAUGAAGUGGUACUCGAGCACGAGACAGGUCGAACUUGGGAAGUCGCGAAGCCAAGCCGGUGGAAGUGGGAGCGUUGCGCUGGCGACAGCUAAAGUGCGAGAAGAAGAUCAGCUGCCGCCGCUCCGGCCUGAAUGCGUCGAUGCAUUCGGGUCAGGGGAAGGCUGCGUUGCGUAGGCGCCACUCCCACUGGAGUCGACGCCAUCGGGCCGAGGAUGCUUCCUCGCACUCCAUGGGCGGCCCCCAAGGCACAAUCACAUUGCUUGGCUGCUUUCUGACAAUUCUGAUCCCGGAGAACACGUUUGACUUUUUCUUUUUUAGCCUUUGCCAUACAUUUAAUUGACUAAGACUCACUUGAAAGACUAUUUGAACUUGAUCUUUUUCUAACCCCCCCAUGGGAAAUGUUGGCAUUUCUAGACCGGAGCAUACGGCCGAGCAGCUCCCCAUGUGUUAUCAUCUCAGGCUUGGUGUCUUCAGCAGGCCCCCCGACACCCACGUCCUGCUGCGUGAACUCCAAGCCACCUGUCGCCCCAUCUGGCAAGGCCGAAGCCGGGCACAUGUCAACAGCGGGCACGAGCCCUUAAGACCUCCCCCGGGGCUUCCAACAUACUCCCAUUUGGUGCCUUGCGACUUUCCAGAGCGUAGAGCGACUUCCGCCCGCAGACACUCCCGGAUAAGCGGCGUACAAAACGGAUGGAUGUACAUUACAAAUAAAGACGGAAUCCAGGAUGAUGGCAGGGAAACGUUGACCUCCUUCAGCCAAAAGGGAGUACACGUCCCUCAAAACACUCCGGUCGGGACACGAGGAGACGAUGGAGGCCAGCUGAGGGGACAGCGCGUCCUGCAGAGCCUU